rnacentral:rRNA from 1 species
UACGUAGGGGGCAAGCGUUGUCCGGAAUCAUUGGGCGUAAAGCGCGUGUAGGCGGCCAGAAAAGUCCGCUGUGAAAACUCGAGGCUCAACUUCGAGCUGUCGGUGGAAACUUUCUGGCUAGAGUCCGGAAGAGGAGAAUGGAAUUCCUGGUGUAGCGGUGAAAUGCGUAGAUAUCUGGAGGAACACCGGUGGCGAAGGCGGCCUGCUGGGCAGUUGCUGACACUGAGGCGCGACAGCGUGGGGAGCAAACAGG